UACGGGGGGAGCAAGCGUUGUUCGGAUUUACUGGGCGUAAAGGGCGCGUAGGCGGUCAGCACAAGUCAGUUGUGAAAUCUCCGAGCUUAACUCGGAACGGUCAACUGAUACUGUGCGACUAGAGUGCGGAAGGGGCAACUGGAAUUCUUGGUGUAGCGGUGAAAUGCGUAGAUAUCGAGAGGAACACCUGCGGCGAAGGCGGGUAGCUGGGCCGACACUGACGCUGAGGCGCGAAAGCCAGGGGAGCGAACGGG
rnacentral:rRNA from 1 species